rnacentral:rRNA from 1 species
GACGAACGCUGGCGGCGUGCUUAACACAUGCAAGUCGAACGGAAAGGCCCUGCUUUUGUGGGGUGCUCGAGGGGCGAACGGGUGAGUAACACGUGAGUAAGCUGCCCUUGCCUGUGGGGUAACUUCAGGAAACUGGGGGUAAUACCGGAUAGGAGCUCCUGCUGCAUGGUGGGGGUUGGAAAGUUUCGGUUGUUGGGGAUGGACUCGCGGCUUAUCAGCUUGUUGGUGGGGUAGUGGCUUACCAAGGCUUUGACGGGUAGCCGGCCUGAGCGGGUGACCGGCCACAUUAGGACUGAGCUGCGGCCCAGCCUCCUACGGGAGGCAGCAGUGGGGAAUAGUGCACAAUGGGCGGAAGCCUGAUGCAGCAACGCCGCGUGCGGGAUGACGGCCUUCGGGUUGUAAACCGCUUCCGCCUGUGCCGGAGCGUGAGUGACGGUAAUGGGUAAAGAAGCACCGGCUAACUACGUG